CUCAUUCAGUUGUUUAAGUUUGACUCUUUGGGGAAUUAUAUUGAGAUCUGUCUUUUAUUCUUUAAUUUCUUAAAAUGUUUCCUUGGAUUUAAGAUUUAAGAUUGUGGGAAUAUAAAUCAUAUUAUGCCUCUGUCCGUUAGAAAGUCCGACAAUUAACAACUUUGCUAUAGAAUGUUCGAAGGAUUAUUUUAAUUUGUAUGGUUUUAAAACGGGUGCAAUGUGAAGAACAGACUGCGACCAGACCAAACAGCCAUGCUUAGUGACACCUUCAAGCGGGAAGUGAAUAUAAAGUUUUCACAGUUGUUAUUGAAUAAACAAGAUGAGGACUGUUUUGCUCCUUUGGUUUCUUGUAUGAACGUGGCAGCUAUCCUGGUUGGCCUCAGAAAGACUGCAAAUAUAGAGAGUUUUUGUUUGAAUGGUGAGCUCUGAGUCGAAUGCCUAAAUUCAGGUGGUUCUGUUUGGGUUUCUACAUGCAACUGUGAUGAAAGAAUAUUAAUUCUCGUUUGCGAAUGGAAAAAAUAUUUACCAAGUUAAGGAUUUAUGAUAUGUGUGGAUUACAUACGUUUCAAUAAAAAUGGUUUGUAUCGUGUUAGAAGUAGUUAAUGUCGUUUGGAAUAAUGAAAUAAAAAAUGUUGAACAUUUA